rnacentral:rRNA from 1 species
CCUACGGGGCGCAGCAGUAGGGAAUUUUCGUCAAUGGGCGCAAGCCUGAACGAGCAAUGCCGCGUGAACGAGGAAGGUCUUCGGAUCGUAAAGUUCUGUUGAAGGGGAAAAAGAGCGGAGAGAGGAAAUGGUCUCCGAUUGAUAUUACCCUUCGAGGAAGUCACGGCUAACUACGUGCCAGCAGCCGCGGUAAUACGUAGGUGGCAAGCGUUAUCCGGAAUUAUUGGGCGUAAAGAGCGCGCAGGUGGUUAAUUAAGUCUGAUGUGAAAGCCCACGGCUUAACCGUGGAGGGUCAUUGGAAACUG